CAUCUCCAGAAUCAGCCAAACACAGAUUCCAGUGUAGAGACCUAGUGGUCAUUUGCUCUCCCAAAGCUUCAGUUUCCUCAUCUGGACAAGAGAGGGGUAAUGGCCUGUGAAGAGCUGCCAUGGUUUGACCGCCUCGGGUAAUCUACUUGAAGCCCACAUCAGACCCAGCGGCUUUGAAAGCCGAGCCUUUGAUUGGAAGGCGCUUUGGCUGGGAGAAGAAAACGCUCUUGACAAUCAAAAGGGAAGGGCCUGAAGGAGACCAUUUGUGCCUGAACUCUAGAUUGAAAAGGACUUGUGAAGACCCGG